rnacentral:rRNA from 1 species
AACGAACGCUGGCGGCAUGCCUAACACAUGCAAGUCGAACGAAACCUUCGGGUCUUUUGGCGCACGUGUGCGUCACGCGUGGGAACCUGCCCUUAGGUUCGGUAUACCUCCCCGAAAGGUAUCUUCAUACCGCUUAAUGUCUUCCGCCCAAGGAUUUCUGGCGUUUGGUUGGGCCCUCGUUGGUUUAGCUGGUUGGUAGUGUAAAAGCAUCCCAAGGACAGGAUCCUUAGCUGGUAGGAGAGGAUGAUAAGCUACAAUGGGAAUGAGACACGGCCCAGACUCGUACGGGAGGGAGGAGUGGGGAAUAUUGGAGAAGGGGGGAAAGUCUGAUAAAGCAAUGCCGGGGGAGUGAUGAAGGCGUUAGGGUUGUAAAGCUGCUUUACACGGGAUGAGAAUGACAGUACCGGGAGAAUAAGCUCCGGCUAACUACGUG